CACGUGGGUAACCUGCCCAUAAGACUGGGAUAACUCCGGGAAACCGGGGCUAAUACCGGAUAACAUUUUGAACUGCAUGGUUCGAAAUUGAAAGGCGGCUUCGGCUGUCACUUAUGGAUGGACCCGCGUCGCAUUAGCUAGUUGGUGAGGUAACGGCUCACCAAGGCAACGAUGCGUAGCCGACCUGAGAGGGUGAUCGGCCACACUGGGACUGAGACACGGCCCAGACUCCUACGGGAGGCAGCAGUAGGGAAUCUUCCGCAAUGGACGAAAGUCUGACGGAGCAACGCCCCGUGAGUGAUGAAGGCUUUCGGGUCGUAAAACUCUGUUGUUAGGGAAGAACAAGUGCUAGUUGAAUAAGCUGGCACCUUGACGGUACCUAACCAGAAAGCCACGGCUAACUACGUGCCAGCAGCCGCGGUAAUACGUAGGUGGCAAGCGUUAUCCGGAAUUAUUGGGCGUAAAAGCGCGCCCAGGUGGUUUCUUAAGUCUGAUGUGAAUCAUUGGAAACUGGGGAGACUUGAAUGCAGAGGAGGAAACGUGGAAUUCCCUUGUGUAGCGGUGAAAUGCGUGGGGAUAUGGUGGGAACACCAUUGGGGGAAAGGCG
rnacentral:rRNA from 1 species